CUGGCAACCACACCUAGCUCCCUCCCCCUGCAACCCCGCACCCCGCCUGGUAAAAGUCCAGCCCAUCUGCUGUCUGCUGCCCCACCUCCUCCGGCACCACCCCGUGCAAACUCAGCGCCACCCAGCCCUGCACCCACCCCCAGCAUUCCACCGUCGGGUGUCCGUUGGAAGGCAGGUUAGCAGACUCAUGAUAACGCCAGCGUGGACGCCAGCUGCUCUCUGGGCUGUGGAAUUCCAAGGCUUGGCACAGCACUGGCUUGCAGCUUCUCACCUGAGCAGGAGAUAACAGGGAGCUUGGACAAUAGUAGCUCCAGGCCCAGCGCAAACCCUUUUGGGGAGCCACAGAGCCCCAGGAGGAGAACAGAGCGGUGCUGCCUCCAGGCCUAAGCUGCCCAUGUUGAGAGGCUGUGCUUCUCCUUCGUGCUGCCGCCUGGAGACUGAUCCCCGGAGCUGCCCACCCUGCCCCUCUCCUUCCCACACCGCCCUGUGGCCAGCCUACUUCCUGCAUUUCCAUUUAACCAAGGAAACCCUUUAAAGAAGAGAGGAUCAGCCUGAUGCCAUGGCAUGAAGUCCUCCCACCCGCAGCUCUGCUCCUGUAAGCCCACAUCCCACUCAUUCCUGGGAUCAGUCCAAUGUGAUAGCAGUUCACUAGUUUUCUUCCCAGUAAAAAGCAUCUGAGCAUGGAAUACUCAAGAUUUUACUUACUAGCAGCAGUAGGCUUUAGGUUUGUAAGAAUUCGUCUCCAGCUCUCCAGAAAUAUCCACUCAUUUGUGUGCAAGGGCUGAUUGUAGUAAAAUAUGCUAUGGGCAUGUUUUGCACCUGUAAGUUCAUCAUGCAGGACACCCAUGUCUAAGAUGUCCAACCUUUAAACAUUUCAGAACACUUUGGAUGUCACAGGUUAAACCUCCUUCUUCCAUUAGGGAAACUGGCUUUAAGGCGCAGAGAUCAGCUGGACAUAGUAGGUAUGCCUGCAGUCCCAGCACUCUGGGAGACUGAGGCAAGGUGAUGGGGAGUUUGAGCCCAAGCUGGGCAACUUGGUGAUUUAGCAAAACCCUAUCUCAAAAUUUAAAAAGGGCUGGUAAGUCAGGCCUGUUGGCACAUACCUGUAAUUCCUAUACUUGGGAGGCUGAGAUAGGGGGAUCACUGUGAGUUCCAGGCCAGCCUGAACUACAUAGGGAGAUCCUAUGUCCAAGACCCAAAAAUAAAUAAAUAAAUAAAUAAAUAAAAUAAAAAGGGGCUGGUGAGUUAGCUCAUCGCAAAGGCCCUAGGUUCAUUCUUCAGUA
rnacentral:lncRNA from 1 species